rnacentral:rRNA from 1 species
GGAGCGAACGCUGGCGGCAGGCUUAACACAUGCAAGUCGAGCGCCCCGCAAGGGGAGCGGCAGACGGGAGAGUAACACGUGGGAACGUACCUUUCGGUUCGGAACAACCCAGGGAAACUUGGGCUAAUACCGGAUACGUCCGUAAGGAGAAAGAUUUAUCGCCGAAAGAUCGGCCCGCGUCUGAUUAGCUAGUUGGUGAGGUAACGGCUCACCAAGGCGACGAUCAGUAGCUGGUCUGAGAGGAUGAUCAGCCACAUUGGGACUGAGACACGGCCCAAACUCCUACGGGAGGCAGCAGUGGGGAAUAUUGGACAAUGGGCGCAAGCCUGAUCCAGCCAUGCCGCGUGAGUGAUGAAGGCCUUAGGGUUGUAAAGCUCUUUUACCUGGGAAGAUAAUGACGGUACCAGGAGAAUAAGCCCCGGCUAACUCGUGCCAGCAGCCGC